rnacentral:rRNA from 1 species
AUUGAACGCUGGCGGCAGGCCUAACACAUGCAAGUCGAGCGAGCGGCGGACGGGUGAGUAAUGUCUGGGAAACUGCCUGAUGGAGGGGGAUAACUACUGGAAACGGUAGCUAAUACCGCAUACCAUCAGAUGUGCCCAGAUGGGAUUAGCUAGUAGGGGGGGUAACGGCUCACCUAGGCGACGAUCCCUAGCUGGUCUGAGAGGAUGACCAGCCACACGGGAACUGAGAAACGGGCCAGACGCCUACGGGAGGCAGCAGUGGGGAAUAUUGCACAAUGGGCGCAAGCCUGAUGCAGCCAUGCCGCGUGGGUGAAGAAGGCCUUCGGGUUGGAAAGUAAUUUCAGCGGGGAGGCGUUACUCGCAGAAGAAGCACCGGCUAACUCCGUGCCAGCAGCCGCGGUAAUUC